rnacentral:rRNA from 1 species
GGGAAAGAUGAAAAGAACUUUGAAAAGAGAGUUAAACAGUAUGUGAAAUUGUUAAAAGGGAACCGUUUGGAGCCAGACUGGCUUGUCUGUAAUCAGUCUAAGUUUCGGCUUGGAUGCACUUGCAGGCUAUGCCUGCCAACGACAAUUUGGCUUGAGGGAAAAAACUAGGGGAAAUGUGGCCCAUUCGUGGGUGUUAUAGUCCCUUAGAAAAUACCUUGGGCUGGAUUGAGGUACGCAGCGAAUGCUAUUUGGCGAGUUGGCUGGGAAUAUUUUCUGAGGUGCUCCGGUACUGAGGUUGAUAUUUCCAGUUACACUUCUAUUCGCUUNAGGUUGUUGGCUUAAUGACUCUAAAUGA